CCGGAUCCUGCUCUGUCUUUGUUUUGUGUUUCCUUGUCGCUGCUGUUGCACAUGUGCUUUCCACUGUUUGUUUGUUUACACCAUGUGAUUCUUUGUUGUCAUCUUGAGCUCCGCCCCCACCUGCCUUCUGCCACGUCCUGGUUUUUUCCGUCACCUUUUACCACACCUGCUUUGUUAAUCACCCUGUUUGUUUGCCUGAUUGGUUUGUCCUGUGUCUUGUUAAUUCUCCUUGUUUAGUUCACAUGUGUCCUACUAUCUGUUUCCCCUUUUUUGCUAUUUAAGUUCAGUCUUUCCUUUGUCCCCUGUUGGUUCAUCAGUCUAAGUCCUCCAUAUGACCAACCCUGAUCUGUGCUUUGUGAACCAGCUCCUCAUAAUGAUUGGUCCAGAGAGAUGUCAGAUCAUAGUUGCCCUCGCUCCCUUGCUUCUCUUAACGUUGGGGUUGAUCCACCUGCACAACUGUCCCAAGGAGCCCAUGGUCCCCAUCUAUGUAAUUGUGGGAUCUGCAUUCUUCCUGGUCUUACAGCUAUUUGCGUUGUGUGGCCAUGGUACAUUGUGCAUCAUCGCCAGUAUUCCGAUCCUCGUCUUUCUCUUCUGCUGGCUGAUUGCAGGUAAGGAUGAGGAGAGGAAUGAGAUGUAAAGAGAGAUACUUAAAAGAGAUUAAUGGUUUCAUAAAAAAAUCUUCCCAUGCAGAAGACAAACCAAAACAAAAGAGAAAGUAAGUUUAUAAAGGUAAAAACAGAAAGUCUGUGACAGUUUAGACACUGUGAUGUUAAGGCAAAUACACUGUUUUCUUCUUUGUCACAAUAUACUGAAUCAUCAUAUCGAAUCAUCAUAUCUGGUACUUCUCUGGUGUAAGUAAUUGAAAAAUAAUAAUAAUAGUAAAAAAUUAUAAUAAUAACAUAAAAUAAAAAUAUAUAAUUUUCUCA
rnacentral:lncRNA from 1 species